AGCAGCCGCCGCGGGAAUACAGAGGGUGCAAGCGUUAAUCGGAAUUACUGGGCGUAAAGCGCGCGUAGGUGGUUUGUUAAGUUGGAUGUGAAAUCCCCGGGCUCAACCUGGGAACUGCAUCCAAAACUGGCAAGCUAGAGUAUGGUAGAGGGUGGUGGAAUUUCCUGUGUAGCGGUGAAAUGCGUAGAUAUAGGAAGGAACACCAGUGGCGAAGGCGACCACCUGGACUGAUACUGACACUGAGGUGCGAAAGCGUGGGGAGCAAACAGGAUUAGAUACCCCGGUAGUCCCUGUCUCUUAUAC
rnacentral:rRNA from 1 species